UGGAAAAUCAACUUAUACAAGCAUUUAUUUUGUGGUGUGACUUAUAGCUUUUCCUACUGCAUUUGCUCAUUGCCAAAAAACUGCUUUUUGUCAUAUGCUAUACACAUAAAUACUAUAUAAUGGGAACAAGGUGUCAGCUGGAGGCAUUCAGACCACAUUUGCUUUACUCCUACUUCUUGAGGCGUGCCUUAUAUGGCAGACUGUGCCCCUGGAACACCUUGGCCUAUGCUGUUGGAGCUGUGGGUGUGGUGAACAUUUCCUGGCACAAGGGAGGAUUUCAAGAAAGCGUUGGCUCUCUCUGGGUUGAGACAGGUUCCUGACCCCUGCCUGCUCACAAGUAACAAUAGUCCCCAGAUUACUUGAGGGAGACACAAUGGAGAUCUCCCCUUGGUGAAGGCUUGCCCUUGACAGAUAUGCUGGCCCUCAAGGGUGGCAGAGAAGUCUUCUCUACAAGGAGAGGUAUUUGGAACUUCAAUCCAGAUAUGUGCUGCUUUGGGUGGCUCUCAAGUGUCUGGUGUCUUCUUGAAAACUGCCCUGGUGUCUUCUUGAAAACUGGCAACAAGAUGGAGUCUUCCAAUGGGCUUACCCUCUUGAUGUAAAUAAAUGAGACUGAAUUCGCUAUCUGACUGCUUAU
rnacentral:lncRNA from 1 species